rnacentral:rRNA from 1 species
CAGUCGCCGCGGUAAUACGAAGGGUGCAAGCGUUAAUCGGAAUUACUGGGCGUAAAGCGUGUGUAGGUGGUUGUUUAAGUCUGUCGUGAAAGCCCUGGGCUCAACCUGGGAAUUGCGAUGGAUACUGGGCGACUAGAGUGCGGUAGAGGAUAGUGGAAUUUCCGGUGUAGCAGUGAAAUGCGUAGAGAUCGGAAGGAACAUCUGUGGCGAAGGCGACUAUCUGGGCCAACACUGACACUGAGACACGAAAGCGUGGGGAGCAAACAGGAUUAGAGACCCCCGUAGUCCCUGUCUCUUAUAC